CCUCCUCGAUCUGCUGCGGACAGAUGAAGUGGAUGUGGCUGUCGAAGCCGCCGGCGGUGACGAUCUUGCCCUCGGCGGCGAUCGCCUCGGUGCCGGGGCCGAUGAUGAUGUCGACGCCGCCCUGGGUAUCGGGAUUGCCGGCCUUGCCGAUGGCGCAGAUGCGACCGUCGCGCAGGCCGAUAUCGGCCUUGUAAAUGCCGGUAUGAUCGAGAACCAGCGCGUUGGUGAUCACCGUGUCGACCGCGCCCUCAGCCCGCGAAUGCUGGGACUGGCCCAUGCCGUCGCGG
rnacentral:sRNA from 1 species